rnacentral:rRNA from 1 species
UACGAAGGGGGCUAGCGUUGCUCGGAAUCACUGGGCGUAAAGCGCACGUAGGCGGAUUGCUAAGUCAGGGGUGAAAUCCUGGAGCUCAACUCCAGAACUGCCUUUGAUACUGGCGACCUUGAGUCCGGGAGAGGUGAGUGGAACUGCGAGUGUAGAGGUGAAAUUCGUAGAUAUUCGCAAGAACACCAGUGGCGAAGGCGGCUCACUGGCCCGGUACUGACGCUGAGGCACGAAGGCCAGGGGAGCAAACGGG